rnacentral:rRNA from 1 species
CGGAUUUGGCGGCAAGAUAGCCAUUUAGAGGAACCUGCCCUAUAAACGAUGAGCCACGAAUAACCUUACUCUUUUUAGUUACUCAGUUUGUAUACCGCUGUUGUCAGUUAGUUUCUUUAGAAAACUUUCGUUUAUGAUAUAUUCAAUGACUUCAAGUAAAGGUGCAGCUUAUAGAAGAGACAGAGGUGGGUUACAAUUAACAGAAUAAAACGGAUAAAGUUUUUGAAACAACUUUUGAAGGUGGAUUUAAAAGUAAGAUUUUAUGAAGUCUGAUGAGAGCUCUAUCUUGUGUACACACCGCCCGUC